GCAGGGGAGAAGAUGCUGUGCUGAAUCUUGGUGAUCGGAGGUGAUUCAAUUGCAUGCAAACCGGUUAAACUGUCAAGGUUUUUAUAUCUGCUCAAGCCCACCAAGAAGCAGAAAGAAAGGAGAACGGUAAGGUUUGAUUUGGAGGGAUGCGGACCAGUGAAGGCUAGUAGCUAGAA